GCCAAAGUGGUAUAGUGGUUUGAAUGUUGGACUAUAACUCUGGAGGUCAGAGUUCAAAUUUCUGCUUAGCCA
rnacentral:tRNA from 1 species